UUGUUGGGGUUGUAGGACACUCUAUACGGAGUUACAAAGGACGACAUUAGACGAAUCAUCUGGAAAGAUGAAUCAAAGAAGGUAAUAAUCCUGUAGUCGAAAAUGUUGUCUCUCUUGAGUGGAUCCUGAGUACGACGGAGCACGUGAAAUUCCGUCGGAAUCUGGGAGGACCAUCUCCUAAGGCUAAAUACUCUCUAGUGACCGAUAGUGAACCAGUACCGUGAGGGAAAGGUGAAAAGCACCCCGGAAGGGGAGUGAAAUAGAACCUGAAACCGUGUGCUUACAAGUAGUCAGAGCCCGUUAAUGGGUGAUGGCGUGCCUUUUGUAGAAUGAACCGGCGAGUUACGAUUUGAUGCAAGGUUAAGCAGUAAAUGUGGAGCCGUAGCGAAAGCGAGUCUGAAUAGGGCGUUUAGUAUUUGGUCGUAGACCCGAAACCAGGUGAUCUACCCUUGGUCAGGUUGAAGUUCAGGUAACACUGAAUGGAGGACCGAACCGACUUACGUUGAAAAGUGAGCGGAUGAACUGAGGGUAGCGGAGAAAUUCCAAUCGAACCUGGAGAUAGCUGGUUCUCUCCGAAAUAGCUUUAGGGCUAGCCUCAAGUGAUGAUUAUUGGAGGUAGAGCACUGUUUGGACGAGGGGCCCCUCUCGGGUUACCGAAUUCAGACAAACUCCGAAUGCCAAUUAAUUUAACUUGGGAGUCAGAACAUGGGUGAUAAGGUCCGUGUUCGAAAGGGAAACAGCCCAGACCACCAGCUAAGGUCCCAAAAUAUAUGUUAAGUGGAAAAGGAUGUGGCGUUGCCCAGACAACUAGGAUGUUGGCUUAGAAGCAGCCAUCAUUUAAAGAGUGCGUAAUAGCUCACUAGUCGAGUGACACUGCGCCGAAAAUGUACCGGGGCUAAACAUAUUACCGAAGCUGUGGAUUGUCCUUUGGACAAUGGUAGGAGAGCGUUCUAAGGGCGUUGAAGCAUGAUCGUAAGGACAUGUGGAGCGCUUAGAAGUGAGAAUGCCGGUGUGAGUAGCGAAAGACGGGUGAGAAUCCCGUCCACCGAUUGACUAAGGUUUCCAGAGGAAGGCUCGUCCGCUCUGGGUUAGUCGGGUCCUAAGCUGAGGCCGACAGGCGUAGGCGAUGGAUAACAGGUUGAUAUUCCUGUACCACCUAUAAUCGUUUUAAUCGAUGGGGGGACGCAGUAGGAUAGGCGAAGCGUGCGAUUGGAUUGCACGUCUAAGCAGUAAGGCUGAGUAUUAGGCAAAUCCGGUACUCAUUAAGGCUGAGCUGUGAUGGGGAGAAGACAUUGUGUCUUCGAGUCGUUGAUUUCACACUGCCGAGAAAAGCCUCUAGAUAGAAAAUAGGUGCCCGUACCGCAAACCGACACAGGUAGUCAAGAUGAGAAUUCUAAGGUGAGCGAGCGAACUCUCGUUAAGGAACUCGGCAAAAUGACCCCGUAACUUCGGGAGAAGGGGUGCUCUUUAGGGUUAACGCCCAGAAGAGCCGCAGUGAAUAGGCCCAAGCGACUGUUUAUCAAAAACACAGGUCUCUGCUAAACCGUAAGGUGAUGUAUAGGGGCUGACGCCUGCCCGGUGCUGGAAGGUUAAGAGGAGUGGUUAGCUUCUGCGAAGCUACGAAUCGAAGCCCCAGUAAACGGCGGCCGUAACUAUAACGGUCCU
rnacentral:rRNA from 1 species